CCUACGGUGCGCAGCAGUGAGGAAUAUUGGUCAAUGGGCGAGAGCCUGAACCAGCCAAGUCGCGUGAGGGAGUACUGCCCUAUGGGUUGUAAACCUCUUUUGUCGGGGAGCAAAAGCCGGACGUGUCCGGCUGUUAGAGUAACCGCAGAAAAAGCAUCGGCUAACUCCGUGCCAGCAGCCGCGGUAAUACGGAGGAUGCGAGCGUUAUCCGGAUUUAUUGGGUUUAAAGGGUGCGCAGGCGGAGGCACAAGUCAGCGGUAAAAGCGCGGGGCUCAACCCGGCUCCGCCGUUGAAACUGUGUCCCUUGAGUGCGCGAAGGGUAGGCGGAAUGCGUGGUGUAGCGGUGAAAUGCAUAGAUAUCACGCAGAACUCCGAUCGCGAAGGCAGCCUACCGGCGCGCAACUGACGCUCAUGCACGAAGGCGUGGGUAUCGAACAGGAUUAGAUACCCGGGUAGUC
rnacentral:rRNA from 1 species